rnacentral:rRNA from 1 species
GACGAACGCUGGCGGCGCGCUUAAUACAUGCAAGUCGAGCGAGAACCAGGGCUUCGGCCCUGGGGACAGCGGCGAACGGGUGAGUAACACGUGGGUAAUCAACCCCCGACACCGGGAUAGCCCAGGGAAACUUGGAUUAAUACCGGAUGCCCCGUCUGGCCUUCGGGCCGGCCGGAAAAGGGUAGCUUCGGCCUCUGGUCGGGGACGAGCCCGCGGCGGAUUAGCUUGUUGGUGAGGUAAAGGCUCACCAAGGCGACGAUCCGUAGCUGGUCUGAGAGGGCGAUCAGCCACACGGGGACUGAGACACGGCCCAGACUCCUACGGGAAGCAGCAGUAGGGAAUCUUGCGCAAUGGGCGAAAGCCUGACGCAGCGACGCCGCGUGAGGGAAGAAGGCCUUCGGGUUGUAAACCUCUUUCAGGAGGGACGAAGCCACUCGGGUUAAUAGCCUAGAGGGUGACGGUACCUCCAGAAGAGGCCCCGGCUAACUACGUGCCAGCCGCCGCGGUAAAAC